rnacentral:rRNA from 1 species
AUUGAACGCUGGCGGAAUGCUUUACACAUGCAAGUCGAACGGCAGCAUAGGUGCUUGCACCUGAUGGCGAGUGGCGAACGGGUGAGUAAUACAUCGGAACGUGCCCAGUCGUGGGGGAUAACGUAGCGAAAGUUACGCUAAUACCGCAUACGAUCUACGGAUGAAAGCGGGGGACCGUAAGGCCUCGCGCGAUUGGAGCGGCCGAUGUUAGAUUAGGUAGUUGGUGGGGUAAAGGCUCACCAAGCCGACGAUCUAUAGCUGGUCUGAGAGGAUGAUCAGCCACACUGGGACUGAGACACGGCCCAGACUCCUACGGGAGGCAGCAGUGGGGAAUUUUGGACAAUGGGCGCAAGCCUGAUCCAGCCAUUCCGCGUGCAGGACGAAGGCCUUCGGGUUGUAAACUGCUUUUGUACAGAACGAAAAGCUCUGGGUUAAUACCCUGGGGUCAUGACGGUACUGUAAGAAUAAGCACCGGCUAACUACGAG